GGUUCCGUAGUGUAAUGGUCAGCACUCUGGACUCUGAAUCCAGCGAUCCGAGUUCAAAUCUCGGCGGAACCU
rnacentral:tRNA from 2 species